ensembl:snoRNA
ACCCUCUAGUAGUUCAUAAGCGUGGUGAUUAAGUUUUUACAUGCAUGUAUAAUGUGCCUCUUGCAAACCUUGUUACAAGGGUGGCACACUACCAUCCAAUGUGAAA